GGGUGAGUAACACGUAGAUAACGUGCCUCGAGAUGGGGGAUAACUGGCCGAAAGGCCAGCUAAUACCGCGUAAGACCACAGCACCUUCGGGAGCAGUGGGAAAAGGUGGGGAUCCUUCGGGACCUGCCGUCUUGAGAUCGGUCUGCGGCCCAUUAGCUAGUUGGUGAGGUAACGGCUCACCAAGGCAGUGAUGGGUAGCUGGUCUGAGAGGAUGAUCAGCCACACUGGGACUGAGACACGGCCCAGACUCC
rnacentral:rRNA from 1 species